rnacentral:rRNA from 1 species
AACGCGAAGAACCUUACCUGGCCUUGACAUGCAUCUCUAAGCUGGUGAAAGCCAGUGAGUCUCGAAAGAGACAAUUUGCACAGGUGCUGCAUGGCUGUCGUCAGCUCGUGUCGUGAGAUGUUGGGUUAAGUCCCGCAACGAGCGCAACCCUUGUGAACUGUUGCCACUCCGGCGUGAGCCGGAAGCACUCUGUUCAGACUGCCCUGUGAAACGGGGAGGAAGGUGAGGACGACGUCAAGUCAGUAUGGCCCUUACGGCCAGGGCUGCACACGUACUACAAUGCCCAGUACAGAACGAUCCGAGACCGCGAGGUGGAGGAAAUCUAUCGAAAACUGGGCCCAGUUCGGAUUGAAGUCUGCAACUCGACUUCAUGAAGCCGGAAUCGCUAGUAAUGGCGCAUCAGCUACGGCGCCGUGAAUACGUUCCCGGGCCUUGUA